rnacentral:rRNA from 1 species
GUACCUACGGGGGGCAGCAGUGGGGGAUAUUGCACAAUGGGGGGAACCCUGAUGCAGCGACGCCGCGUGGGCGAUGGAGUACUUCGGUAUGUAAAGCCCUAUCAGCAGGGAAGAAAAUGACGGUACCUGACUAAGAAGCCCCAGCUAAAUACGUGCCAGCAGCCGCGGUAAUACGUAUGGGGCAAGCGUUAUCCGGAUUUACUGGGUGUAAAGGGAGCGUAGGCGGCCUGGCAAGCCUGCUGUGAAAUACCGGGGCCCAACCCCGGGGCUGCCUUGGGAACUGCCCGGCUGGAGUGCCGGGGAGG